GCACCAGCUUUGUUGCCCUCCUCUGGACACGCUCCAGGGCCUCGAUGUCUUUCUUGCAGUGAGGGGCCCAAAACUGGACACAGUACUCGAGGUGCGGCCUCACCAGUGCUGAGUACAGGGGGACAUUUACUUCCCUGCUCCUGCUGGCAACACUACUUCUGAUGCAAGCCAGGAUGCCGUUGGCCUUCUUGGCCACCUGGGCACACUGCUGGCUCAUGUUCAGUCUCGCGUCAAUCAACACCCCCAGGUCUGUUUCCUCUCCGCAGUCUUCCAGCCACUCUGCCCCAAGCCUGGAGCGUUGCCUUGGGGUUGUUGUGGCCCAAGUGCAGGACCCGGCAUUUGGUCCGGUUGAAGCUCAUCCCACUGGCUUCAGCCCAGCUAUCCAGCCUGUCCAGAUCCCUCUGUAGGGCCUCGCAACACUCAGGCAGACGGACACUUCCAGCCAACUGGGUGUCAUCUGCAAACUUACUGAGGGUGCGUUCAACGCCCUCAUCCAGGUCAUCAGUAAAGAUCUCAAAGAGGACAGGCCCCAGCACCGACCCCUGGGGAACACCACCCGUGACCGGUCGCCAGCUGGAUUUAACUCCAUUCACCACCACUCUGUGGGCCCGGCCCUCCAGCCAGCUCCUUACCCAGCCAAGAGCGUACCUGUCCAAGCCACAGGCUGCCAGCUUCUGCAGGAGAAUACCGUGGGAGACAGCGUCAAAGGCUUUGCUGAAGUCUAGGUAGACUACCUCAACAGCCUUUCCCUCAUCCACCAGACGGGUCACUAGAUCAUACAAGGAGGUCGGGUUGGUCAAGCAGGACCUGCCCUUCGUGAACCCACGCUGGCUGGGCCUGACCCCCUGAUUGUCCCGCACAUGCCGCGUGAUCUCCCUCGAGACAAUCUGCUCCAUAACGGUGAGGUGGCGAAAAGAGUCACCUCCACACCGCGGUUCCUUACUAAAUUUGACGCAAGGGACUUGUCUAGUUUUCUAAAUAUUUGGCAGAGAAGCUGCAAAAUAUCAGUGUGAAACAAUCAAUUGAUUUCCAUGACCAUCGAGUUUCAACCGCCCUGCUAUGUGCAGGGUCGCCAACCACGAGACCGGGCUGCCCAGAGCCACAUGCAGCCUGGCCUUGAAUGCCUCCAGGGAUGGGGCAUCCACAACCUCCUUGGGCAACCCGUUCCAGUGCGUCACCACCCUCUGGGUGAAAAACUUCUCCCUAACAUCCAACCUACAUCUCCCCUGUCCCAGUUUAAAACCAUUCCCCCUUGUCCUAUCGCUAUCCACCCUCGUAAACAGCCUUCCUGUUUAUACGCUGCCUUCAAGCACCACUGGAAGGCCACGAUGAGGUCUCCCUGGAGCCUUCUCUUCUCCAAGCUAAACAAGCCCAGUUCCCUCAACCUUUCCUCAGAGGAGAGGCGCUCCAGCCCUCUGAUCAUCUUAGUGGCCCUCCUCUGGACCCGCUCCAAGAGCUCCACGUCCUCCCUCCCUGCACUGGAGGCCCCAGGCCUGGACGCACUACAAGAAUGGGUCCAGUCCCAUAGGAGACCCCAAACUGGGAGGAGCGGCUGAUGCAGCAGAAGGCCGUGCAGCCUUCCAGAGGGAUCCGGGCGGGCUGGAGAAACGGCUGGGGUCUGAGGCGUCUUUCCCAGCCGUCAUGGUUCUGUGAUUGUAGCAUUCUUUUGGGAGUGCAGAUUUCCUCUUGGAAAUGCCAAACUAUAUGACAGCAGCUACAGAGAGCGCAGUAACGCUACUCUGUUGGGAGUACUCUGUUCGGAGGCUGAGGUACGGAAUGAGUUCUUUGCUAUUCAGAGGGACCUGAACAGACUGGCAAGAUGGGUCCAGGUAUGAGGUUGAAGACAGCCAAGUCUUGCAAAGUCUUUUGCACUUGGGCUGGAGGAAUCCCGGGCGUAUAUACAGACUGGAAGGAGCAGUCCUUGUGAGAGAGGAGCCCUGCAGAGAAGGACCUGGGGCGUCCUGGUGGAUGAAAAACUGCAUGUGAGCCAGCAGUUGGCUCUUGCAGCUCGGAAAGCAUAUGGUAUCCUGGGCUCCAUCAGAAGAGGGGUGGCCAGCAGGGAGAGGGAGAUGAUUGUCCCUCUCUACUGUGCCCUCUGUGAGGCACAUCUAAAGUACUGCGUCCGGGUCUGGGGCCCCCAGUACAGGAAAGACGGGGAGCUGUUAGAGAUGGUCCAGAGGAGGGCCGCAAAGAUGAUCAGAGGGCUGGAGCACCUCCCCUACGAAGACAGGCUGAGGGAGCUGGGCUUCUUCGGCCUGGAGAAGAGAAGGCUGCGAGGUGACCUCCUUGCAGCCUUCCAAUGCCUCAAGGGAGCCUACAAACAGGAGGGGAGUCAACUCUUUACAAGGCUAGAUAAUGGCAGGACAAGGGGGAAUGGUUGUAAGUUGAAGGAGGGAAGAUUUAGGUUGGCUAUCAGGGGGAAGUUCUUUACCAAGAGAGUGGUGAGGUGCUGGGACAGGCUGCCCAGAGAGCUUGUGGAUGCUCCGUCCCUGGAGGUGUUCGGGGCCAGGCUGGAUGGGGCCCUGGGCAGCCUGGUCCAGUGUUAGAUCUGGAGGGUGGCGGCCCUGCCUGCGACAGGGGAGCUGGGGCUCGAUGAUCCUUGAGGGUCCUUGCAAGCCAAGCCAUUCUGGGAUUCUGUGAUGAUCCAAUGAGCUACUCGUGUGCCCUUCCCACCUCUUGCACACCUCAGUCUGUACGCUGGAGAGGCAGUGAGAAACAGUGAAGGACUCGACGCUGUGCAAACACUGCUCAGCCUCAACUGAAACACUGCUGUGUUAUCCGCGUUGGCCUGGCCACAGAUCUAAAGCACUGCACCACACGAGCUGCUAUGAAGACCAUGGACUCCCUCCCAGCUAAUCCCAGUGCACUCCAUCACCUUUGGCUCUUCCACCACUCACCGCAGGAGUGGGGGAGGAAGAAGGGAGGAAUAGGUGGGUUUUGUUUGCUUCAGCUUCUGUGCUCCCUGUCUGUAUGUACAGAGAGGGUUUGGCAGAUUCUUGCCGGCGCUCUCCGUUGUGCUGUAGUUGUUCUGUCACCACAGCUAAAUAGAGCAUGCCUCUCAUGUGAGCAGUCUCCAGAGAACGAGCCAGAGACAUGCGACUGUUAAGCAAGCGUGCUGUCUCAGCGACGCAGGAAGUCUUGGCAUGGCUGUCCGGGAAGCUGAGUGGUCAGAAGCACAGUGAAGGACUCGAUGCUGUGCAAACACUGCUCAGCCUCAACUAAAGAGAAGGCCGGGAAGGUGGUCAGAUGGCUGGAGCACCUCUGCUGUGCAGAAAGUCGGAGAGAGCUGGGGUUAUUUAGCUUAGAGGAGGGAAGGCUCUGGCCUUCUCCUUGUGGCCUUCCAGGAGCUACUGGAAAGAUGGAGAGGGACUCAUUAUCGGAGUGUAGCGACGGGACGGGGAGCGGUAAUUUUUAUGUUGAUGUUGAUGUUGAUGUGUAUUUAUUAAUUUAUUUUCUUGCAAGGAAGAGAAGGUAGGUUUCGAUGAGACGUUGUGAAGCAAUGUUUCACUCUCAGGCAGUGAGGCAGUGGCACGGGCUGCCCAGAGAAGAUGUGGGUGCCCCAUCCCUGGAGGUGUCCAAGGCCCGGUCGGAUGGGGCCCUGGGCAGCCUGACGUGGUGGGCGGCAGAGCUGCCCAUGGCAGUGGGGUUGGAAGUGGGUGGGCUUUGAGGUCCCUUCCCACAGAAGCCGUGCUGUGAUUCUGUGAAUACUUGCAUUUGAACUGGGCUUGAUAUACUGAACGCACCUUCAGCUUUGUUCCCUUGAGUCAGCCGUUAGCAGCAGGCAGCAGGCAGCAGCAGCAACCUGGCACUGUAUGAUUUGUGAGAGAAGUGCAGACUUUGUCACUUCAGAAGCGUUGCAGUCAGAGUAUGAAAUUGGUCUUCGCAGAGUAAGGGGAAAGGCUCGCUAAGGAUACCAUCUAGUGGUAGUAAGAGGCAAAGACCUACGGAGCCAGCUGUGAAGCGAAUGUCAGUCCUGUCAGGAAGCUGCUCAUCAACUCCCUGCUUUGCAAGCAAGUGAUGUCACCGAGUAGGACCGGGAUCAGAACUCAUCCAGGCCGGCAUGUCCCAGCUCUGUGGGGUGAGGCCACACGAAGGAAAUCCUUGGUCCUGCACUUGGGGCGUAACAGCCCCAGGCAACGCUCCAGGCUUGGGGCAGAGUGGCUGGAAGACUGCGGAGAGGAAACAGACCUGGGGGUGUUGGUCGAUGCUCGGCUGAACGUGAGGCAGCAGUGUGCCCAGGUGGCCGAGAGGGCCACUGGCGUCCCGGCUUGUAUCAGGAGUGGCAUUGCUAGCAGGAGCAGGGAAGUGAUCAUCCGUCUGCACCGAGCUCUGGUGAGGCUGCACCUGGAGUGCUGUGCUCGGUUUUGGGCUCCUCACGGCAAGAAAGACAUGGAGGCCCUGGAGCGUGUCCAGAGAAGGGCAACGAAGCUGGUGAGGGGUCUGGAGCACAAGUCUUAGAAGGAGCAGCUCAGGAAGCUGGGAUUGUUUAGCCUGGAGGAGGCUCAGGGGAGACCUUCUGGUGCUCUGCACCUACCUGCAGGGAGGUUGUGGAGAGCUGGGGGUUGGCCUCUUCUGCCAUGUCACUAGCAGUAGGACUAGAGGGAAUGGCCUCAAGCUGUACCCACGGAGACUCAGGUUGGACGUUAGGAAAUGCUUCUUCUUUGAGAGUGCUGGAAUGAGCUGCCCAGGGAGGUGGUGGGGUCAUCAUCCCUGGAGGCAUUCAAGAAACGUUUAGACGUUGUACUGAGGAACAUGGUUUAGCGGGGAAUACUGGUGAUAGUUUGCAGUGAAUCACGUUGCACGCGACAGGAGCUGAUUUAGCCCCACCGUGACAUUUUCUUCUUUCCUUUCCCUCAUACGGAGCAAGGCCACGAACUGAGAGAACAGGGUAAAAGAAAUCACGACAGAACAGGGGCUGAGAACAAGUCCCUAGAAGCCAGGAAACUUGAACACUGCAAAAAAUGCCUGUCUCAGCCAUUCCCUACAGACAAAAUCUGCCAUGCUGUGCUCAGAGUAGAACAAAUUUCACGCCUCCGUUGCUCCUUGUGGCACGCCAGGAAGACCACGCUGCUGCGGCAAUGUCUGUGUGCCAGAGUUUGUUUGUAGAGCCUUACAGAGAAGAGGCCUCAAUUCCAAGAUGGACCGCAAGAAGCCUGUCAUGAGAUUGGCUUUCUUGAAGACGGGAGUGAAUAUCUGCUGUUUCCCGUGUCCUUAGCACGUAGAAGUCAAGUGUGCACAAAGGCCAGCGGCUACAUGUGUACUUUGUGUGCUUUUGGUCCUGUGUGCUUUUGGUCUGGCUUAAUAGGCACCUACUCCCCGAAGCUGUGAGCAGAUGCCUAGUGGGACUGUCAGAGAUGUGUAUAUCUAGCUGCUGCAGAUAUCACCGCAGUGAGAAACUGGAGGCACACACCUCUUUCAGAAAGAGAGAAAAAGCACGCAGUGAGAAGCUGAAGGUGCUUCAUUCACUUAAUUGUUUUGCAAAAAAGGAAGGGAGAGGAGAGGAGAGGAGAGGAGAGGAGAGGAGAGGAGAGGAGAGGAGGCAAUUACAGGGUAUUUAAGUCCUUCCUCUGGGGGGAAUUCAGAGCUCUCCAAGUCUUUUCCAUUCAAGAAAAAAAGCGUGACAACAAUCAAAAUGUGGAAGCAGAAUCAUGUAAACUUCUGGCUGAGAAACAAAUCUUUUCUAUAGAAUGUCUUGUGUCUCUCUCUAAGAAUAAACAAAUACAUUUUUAGCAGCGAGAAGGUUUGUUCACCAACUCAAGUAACAAAUUCUUCUUCCUUGACACCUACAAGUGAGGUCUGGCUGCUUUCAGGAUUAUGCCUUUCGGUCAAACUCAAGUUAUUCGGAUCCCUAUAUACGUAUCAGGGAACGAGACUCUAUGGGCUACAUCAUGCAGGCAGUGAGAGCAGAUGAUGCAAUUGUCCGUUCUGUCCCACUGCAAUCAUUUUAAAAGGCCCGCAUGACUUUUGGAGGAGUAUCACUUUGUAAUUCAUCUGAGCUGAAAGUGCUACAGCAUCACUUUGGCAAAAGAGAGAGCUCCAAACCAGGCUCAACUGUACUGAAGGCUCACAAAGGCAGAUUGCGUUCUCAGUAUUAGAUGGUAGAACUCUUGGGGACUAGGAAGACUUGUGCAAAAAAAAGAAAUGCUUCUUUGCACCUUUGACGGAAGUUCUAAGUGACAGUGCAACACGAUACGCUUCGUGGACUGAAACGAGUGAUGUCGCUGCAGAGGACAUGUUGGGUAACGCUGUGCACAGGUAUCCUGGCUCUGGCCAUGGAGCACUGCUUGCACAGCUUCAUGGAUAGAGAUUUCCUACCGGUGUACCACCACAGAAAACUUUCUUGAACGUGAGCGUUUUCGAACACUGGAAGAGGCUUCCUAGCAAGGUGGCUGGUGCCUGGUGUCUGUCCAUGUCCAAGCUUGUCAAUGCUCUUAAUAAUAUACUUUCACUUUUGUUAGCCCUGUAGGUCCCUCCCAACUAUUUCCCUUCCCUUCCCUUCCCUUCCCUUCCCUUCCCUUCCCU
ensembl:lncRNA